rnacentral:rRNA from 1 species
GAUGAACGCUGGCGGCGUGCUUAACACAUGCAAGUCGAACGAAGCACCUUGAUUUGAUUCUUCGGAUGAAGAUCUUGGUGACUGAGUGGCGGACGGGUGAGUAACGCGUGGGUAACCUGCCUCAUACAGGGGGAUAACAGUUAGAAAUGACUGCUAAUACCGCAUAAGACCACAGCACCGCAUGGUGCAGGGGCAAAAACUCCGGUGGUAUGAGAUGGACCCGCGUCUGAUUAGGUAGUUGGUGGGGUAACGGCCUACCAAGCCGACGAUCAGUAGCCGACCUGAGAGGGUGACCGGCCACAUUGGGACUGAGACACGGCCCAAA